AAUGAAGUGCCUGAAAAAGGAUUAUUUUGAUAGAAUAAAUUAUGUAAGACCGGCCUUACCUUCAUUU
rnacentral:tRNA from 1 species